AACCAGCACCUCAAGUGGUCAGGAUGAUUAUUGGGCCUAAAGCAUCCGUAGCCGGCUCUGUAAGUUUUCGGUUAAAUCUGUACGCUUAACGUACAGGCUGCCGGGAAUACUGCAGAGCUAGGUAGUGGGAGAGGUAGACGGUGCUCGGUAGGAAGGGGUAAAAUCCUUUGAUCUAUUGAUGACCACCUGUGGCGAAGGCGGUCUACCAGAACACGUACGACGGUGAGGGAUGAAAGCUGGGGGAGCAAACCGGAUUAGAUACCCGGGUAGUCCCAGCUGUAAACUAUGCAAACUCAGUGAUGCAUUGGCUUGUGGCCAAUGCAGUGCUGCAGGGAAGCCGUUAAGUUUGCCGCCUGGGAAGUACGUACGCAAGUAUGAAACUUAAAGGAAUUGGCGGGGGAGCACCACAAGGGGUGAAGCCUGCGGUUCAAUUGGAGUCAACGCCAGAAAUCUUACCCGGAGAGACAGCAGAAUGAAGGUCAAGCUGAAGACUUUACCAGACAAGCUGAGAGGUGGUGCAUGGCCGUCGCCAGCUCGUGCCGUGAGAUGUCCUGUUAAGUCAGGUAACGAGCGAGAUCCCUGCCUCUAGUUGCCACCAUUACUCUCAGGAGUAGUGGGGCGAAUUAGCGGGACCGCCGCAGUUAAUGCGGAGGAAGGAAGGGGCCACGGCAGGUCAGUAUGCCCCGAAACUCUGGGGCCACACGCGGGCUGCAAUGGUAACGACAAUGGGUUUCGAAUUCGAAAGGAUGAGGUAAUCCUCAAACGUUACCACAGUUAUGACUGAGGGCUGCAACUCGCCCUCACGAAUAUGGAAUCCCUAGUAACUGCGUGUCACUAUCGCGCGGUGAAUACGUCCCUGCUCCU
rnacentral:rRNA from 1 species